rnacentral:misc_RNA from 1 species
AACCUAGCACACCUGCGGUGUGUACCUGCGGAGGGAUCAUUAAUAAAUGUUACUUCGGUAACUUAGUUAAUCCCUAACACCUGUGCAUCUUGUCGCUUCGGCGUCAUUUUAUAAACAACAGUGUAAUGAAUGUAACGUAUUAUAACAAAUACAACUUUUAACAAUGGAUCU